AUUGCUUCAUUGGAAUAUUUGCACUUUGCUACCUCUCCGAUUGUUAGUCCUUCUUAUGUUGACAGGUAUGGGAGAAUUCCCCUCUACCUCUCCACGUCCCUCACUGAGGAUAUUCACUCAACUGGCACUUUUUACACCGAUGCGUUCAACUCGGCUUUGACCUCUGAGCAACCAGCUUUCAAAUCAUCCCCGUACAAAGCAUUAAUCUCUCCUCCACCCACCACAAGCCAAGGNAUCAUUCGACCCAACCGACUCUGUACUGUACCUUCCUUUCAGAGGUUACCCCUCACUCACCAUUCAUCUCUACGGCAGCUGCUCCUCCUUGGUCAGGGACGCGGCUCUUUGACUUCACUAAACACCACUCACUCCCCUGGCACUGUAACUGCCACUCUGCGGAUUUCUGACAGAGACCGCACACCUGUCUUCUGAUGGCGGCGCACAGAAGACUCCCUUCCCUCCCACAGAAGAGCUCUGCCUCCCCUCCCACCACCUCCAGGACCCAGACCAGACUCCUGCUGCCUUCCUCCUGGCUGCUCUUAUACUCCUGCCCAUUAAGACGAGGGCGUGGCCAGUUUCACUCAGGGCCUAUCAGAAUUGCUCCUCUCUCUCCCUGUGGUAGAGGACCCCCCUAAAUUAAUGUUAUUAUCCCAUGAAACUAGGUGUGCCUUGUUAUUAAUUCGGCCUUUCUCCUUGAUUGGGGGCUAUUAAACAAAGCCAACCCCUCACGACCUCGCAGGUCACAGCUAGGUUUCAAUGUCUGCUGUGGGAAAACAAGUCCAUGGAAUCAUUUCCCUCAGUGUAUAGAAACACUGGUAAAUGUCUCACCACAACUACACAUGUAACCUCAUGUAAAUUCUAACCUCCUCUGUGUAGAAAAGCCACCUCAGAGCUGAAAUAUGCUACCACUACCCAGAUGACCUGAAGGAGCUGCCUUUCACGCCCAGAAAUCAAAUCUUUACACUCUCCCCCCCGAGAAACCAUUCUUUUCCAUUAUGUUCUCUCAAACAUCUGUCAACCUUUCCCGUCACUGCACCUGUUUCGAAAAAAAACCAACCAAAUUUACAGUAAACCUUGUUGUUCCUGUUGCCAUGGCGACGCCAUAAACCUCCUCCUGACCCACAAGCUUCGCCAUGGCAACCUGGACAGAAAAGAACAGAUGAUCAGAACGCGCUGUUAGGAGACGAUUAAAAUAAGCAUUUUAUAGAAGAGACAGCUGCAGUGGAACUGAAGUGACGCGCGCACACAGAUUGUUAUCAUUUAACUGGAUAUAUGCAUGUGUUUCUACGACACUAAACAAUUUCCAACCUAGCUGUCAGCAAUACAAGUUCCUCUGUGGUCUGUUUUGGAUACAACACAGGUGAACAAUCUUCCAUGGUACUUAUUAAGCCAGAACCAAUUUUUAUUACUUUAACAAAUGGCAUUCCGCUUGAAGGUUUUUAUCAAAAUACUUAAUAUCAGGAUUUAUUUAGGAAAGGUGAGCAGUGUCCUAAAAAAAACUAAAUAUUUUCUCUUUACUAACUGGAAAUGAUCUCUUAUGCAUCUAAGACACCAAAUGAAGCACUGAUCUUCAGUAGCUCACAUCAACAUAUACAUGUAAAAAUGCUAGCCUCUAACGUUUGCCAUUAAAAAGCUUGCAGGAUCAUCUGAACCUCAUAAAUCACCACACAGUAAUACUCUGGGAUUAUUAAAUACACAUACAGUGAGGCCACAGACUAACAAUAGAACAAAUUCUUAAGGGGGAAUUCAUUCAGGUUUUUUAAACCCUGAAAAGCAAGGUACAACUCAAUGCACAGGGCAUCUUCAGGCACCUGAAGCACAUGUGAGAAGUAAGUUCAGGAGCAUACAGGAUAGAAAACAAGAGACCUGUUUCUGUGGGAGUCCGUAACAAAAGCCCUAGCCACAUUGCUGAAGCCAAACCAAUAAACUCCUUCCAGAAACGGCUUGAUGACAUUUGUGGUUCAAAAGCGCAAGAAGACAAAUAGCACACAUGGGUGUGUGUUUUGUUUCCAGAGACUCCUAUUAAAGCAGAAUAAAAUAGCUUUAGAGCAUAUACUGUAGGUUACCAUAGACGGCAAAUGGAUGAAACACACGCAAGAGAUUUAAAUCGUAUUUCGCAAAGGAAUGUAUUAACAUGUAACUAAAUGGAACAAGUAUUACGUUCAGUAAAGUAUGUGCUUGGAGUACAGAUUGUGCAAUUUUAUAUUUUUUACCCUAAAAAAAAUCUCAUCUGCGGAUUAUAAAUUGGGAAAUAAAGUGCCCCUACUGCAGGGGUGUCAGAAUCAGUUCCUGGAGUGUCUUCU
ensembl:lincRNA